AGCGAACGUUAGCGGCAGGCCUAACACAUGCAAGUCGAGCGAGAAAGGGGCUUCGGCCCUGAGUAAAGCGGCGGACGGGUGCGUAACACGUGGAUAAUCUUCCCUUCAGCGGGGAAUAACGUUCCGAAAGGAACGCUAAUGCCGCAUGUCACAGCGAGACCUCCGGGUCAUGCUGGAAAAGGGGACGCCCGCAAGGGGUUCUCACUGAAGGAUGAGUCCGCGGCCCAUCAGCUUGUUGGCGGGGUAAUGGCCCACCAAGGCAAAGACGGG
rnacentral:rRNA from 1 species